UACGUAGGGCGCAAGCGUUAUCCGGAAUUAUUGGGCGUAAAGAGCUCGUAGGCGGUUUGUCGCGUCUGCCCGUGAAAGUCCGGGGCUCAACUCCGGAUCUGCGGUGGGUACGGGCAGACUAGAGUGAUGUAGGGGAGACUGGAAUUCCUGGUGUAGCGGUGAAAUGCGCAGAUAUCAGAGGAACACCGGUGGCGAAGGCGGGUCUCUGGGGCCGAUACUGACGUGAGGAGCGAAAGCGUGGGGAGCGAACAGG
rnacentral:rRNA from 1 species